rnacentral:rRNA from 1 species
GACGAACGCUGGCGGCGUGCUUAACACAUGCAAGUCGAACGGAUAGGCCCUGCUUUUGUGGGGUGCUCGAGUGGCGAACGGGUGAGUAACACGUGAGUAACCUGCCCUUGACUUUGGGAUAACUUCAGGAAACUGGGGCUAAUACCGGAUAGGAGCUCCUGCUGCAUGGUGGGGGUUGGAAAGUUUCGGCGGUUGGGGAUGGACUCGCGGCUUAUCAGCUUGUUGGUGGGGUAGUGGCUUACCAAGGCUUUGACGGGUAGCCGGCCUGAGAGGGUGACCGGCCACAUUGGGACUGAGAUACGGACCAGACUCCUACGGGAGGCAGCAGUGGGGAAUAUUGCACAAUGGGCGGAAGCCUGAUGCAGCAACGCCGCGUGCGGGAUGACGGCCUUCGGGUUGUAAACCGCUUUCGCCUGUGACGAAGCGUGAGUGACGGUAAUGGGUAAAGAAGCACCGGCUAACUACGUG